GAUGAAGAACGUAGCGAAAUGCGAUAAGUAAUGCGAAUUGCAGAAUCCGUGAGUCAUCGAAUCUUUGAACGCACAUUGCGCCCUCUGGUAUUCCGGAGGGCAUGCCUGUUCGAGCGUCAUUAUCACCCCUCAAGCCCGGCUUGUUGUUGGGGCCUGCUGCACUGGCAGCCCUUAAAAUCAGUGGCGGCGCCAUCUGGCUCUAAGCGUAGUAAUUCUUCUCGCUAUGGAGUCCUGGUGGAUGCUUGCCAUCAACCCCCAAUUUUUCUAUGGUUGACCUCGGAUCAGGUAGGGAUACCCGCUGAACUUAAGCAUAUCAAUAAGCGGAGGA
rnacentral:misc_RNA from 1 species